rnacentral:rRNA from 1 species
UUCUUAGUGGCGGACGGGUGAGUAACGCGUGGGUAACCUGCCCUGUACAGGGGGAUAACACUUAGAAAUAGGUGCUAAAACCGCAUAAGCGCACAGUACCGCAUGGUACAGUGUGAAAAACUCCGGUGGUACAGGAUGGACCCGCGUCUGAUUAGCUGGUUGGUGAGGUAACGGCCCACCAAGGCGACGAUCAGUAGCCGGCCUGAGAGGGUGAACGGCCACAUUGGGACUGAGACACGGCCCAAACUCCUACGGGAGGCAGCAG